rnacentral:rRNA from 1 species
UACGUAGGGGGCUAGCGUUAUCCGGAUUUAUUGGGUUUAAAGGGUGCGUAGGCGGUCCGUUAAGUCAGCGGUAAAAUUGCGGGGCUCAACCCCGUCGAGCCGUUGAAACUGUCAGACUUGAGUUGGCGAGAAGUACGCGGAAUGCGCGGUGUAGCGGUGAAAUGCAUAGAUAUCGCGCAGAACUCCGAUUGCGAAGGCAGCGUACCGGCGCCACACUGACGCUGAGGCACGAAAGCGUGGGGAUCGAACAGG